AAAAUAAUCCUACCCUUGUGAAUUUUGUUUGUUUGAAUAAUUUUUUUUUUUAAAAAAUUAUUGGAGUCUUUCCCUUCAGAGUUUGCUUUUGAGUUUGUAAAAGAAUUCGAGAACAUCUAAAGGGGAUGGUCAAUAAUUUUUUUUGAAAAAAGACAUUUUUUAAAAUUAAACUUUUUGUAUUCAUUUGUCUAAAAAUUAUUUUUAUAAUAUAAAAACAACUUUUGACAAUGGAUCUCUUGGUUCUCGCAACGAUGAAGAACGCAGCAAAAUGCGAUAAGUAGUGUGAAUUGCAGAAUACGUGAAUCAUCGAAUCUUUGAACGCAUAUUGCACUCUUUUAGUUUACUAAAAAAGUAUGUCUGUUUGAGUAUCAGUAAAAUAUUCUCAUAAAAAUCAUUGUGUAUUUUUAUGGUUAUGAGUGUUUUACAACGAUACAAGUUGUUUCACUUUAAAUUUUUUUUUUAAUAUUGAAAUUUUUCUAAUUUUAAUAAUUAAAAUUGGAUAAAAUUUUCCCGUCAAAAGGAAUAACCUAAACAAUUUUAAAUGAUUAAUUUUAGCAAAAUUUUCGUAAAAAAGGAAAAUUUUUAUUAAAAUAACUUGAUCUCAAAUCAGAUAAGAGUACCCGCUGAACUUAAGCAUAUCAAUAAGCGGAGGAAAAGAAACUAACAAGGAUUCCCUUAGUAACGGCGAGUGAAGCGGGAAGAGCUCAAAUUUGAAAUCUUCAAGGUUUUACCUUGACGAAUUGUAGUUUAAAGAAGUGUUUUCUGCUGAAGUUUUGGUAAAAGUUCUUUGGAAUAGGACAUCAUAGAGGGUGAGAAUCCCGUAUUUGACCAUUAUUUUCAGCUUUGUGAUACACUUUCAAAGAGUCGGAUUGUUUGGGAAUGCAGUCCAAAAUGGGUGGUAAACUUCAUCUAAAGCUAAAUAUUGGCGAGAGACCGAUAGCGAACAAGUACCGUGAGGGAAAGAUGAAAAGAACUUUGAAAAGAGAGUUAAACAGUACGUGAAAUUGUCAAAAGGGAAGCGUUUGACACCAGUGUUGUUUUCUCGAAAAUCAAUUAAAAAUGGCUCGAUUUUGUAUUGCUGAGACCUUAAAAGCUCACUGUACAUUUUUCGUGUCUUUUUUAAUGCACUUUUCGUUUAACAAGUCAACAUCAGUUUCUUUUGUUGUAAAAGGGUCAUUGGAAGGUGGCUUUCUUUUCGGAGAAAGUGUUUAUAGCCUUUGGCCUCUGCAAUCGAGAGACUGAGGUCUGCAGCGUAGACUCUUCGGGUUAGAUACAUUUGUGCUAAGUUAUAGCUUUUAUAGACAACUUGUUGACUAUAAUUAGUCUUGUAGCUUACUCGCUUAUGCUAUUUUACCUACGCUUAGGAUG
rnacentral:misc_RNA from 1 species